CUUGGCAUGAAUUGAGGUAGAGCACUAAAAGGCGGACAAACAGCAAUUUUUCAUUGUUGCUCGACACCUAAACCUAAUAUAAAAGAAAGAAAUCCUUACCAAAAAGAGGUGAGAUGAAGCCAGAAGGUGUCAGGGAUGUACUGCGAAGGACCAAUGACCUCAUCAUUUGCUCUGUCAGGUCUUCCUGCUUGCAGGAAGUGUAAAACAGACCAAAGUUGAGCUGUGAGUUGAAUUGUCACCAGAGUAUGUUAAGUCUCAACUGCCACUCGCUGGACUCAGAUGGAGAAACCGAAAAGCAUGUGCUGGAACACUGCAGGGGGAGUGACAAAGCUGAUACGAGGAAGUCGUUUUAUUGGUUCAACAGCACAAAGGAAGGACACAAACAGGGAAGGUGCCAGUGUGUUUGCUAAAGAAAUUCAUGAUACAGUUUCAUUCACUAAAGUAGCCUGUCAGCUGCUUUACCAAGGACGUGUGAGCUUUGCUCAUACUGUACCUGUCAGGACCAGCCUGCAGUGCGUGGCAAGAAAGGGCUGUGCUUGAUGUGUGUGCGUUUGCUCCGCUCGUACGUUUUGUUUGGUCACGUGUGAACACGAUCAUCCGAACCCUGGCGUGCAUCAAACGUAAGCAAUUUGUUCCAUUUUUGAGGACCGAACCACACUCGUGAACGUAUCCUUGAACACGUCUUUGAUUCCGUGGCUGUUUAAUCGAAAACGUUAGCUUUUGAAUGUGAGAAACAACAGAUGUCUGAUUUGUGAGUUUAGACGGCGACACACACUAAGGAUGCUCACUGUCGUCCACAUGUUGGGAAUAAAUUAAGGCACUUCCUCCUACGUACAUACUGGAUGUGUACAGUAUCUCUGCUUCAAGUGUCUUUUCAAGUGUGCACACGCGCAGUCUGCUUUCUCUUUUGAUCAGAGUUCAUCCCGUGACGCCCUCGCCGCAGGUUGCGGCGAGUCCCCCGUGACGCUGUUCUGGGCUACGCUGCGUAUGCGGCCCUGCUGGGCGGUCUUGCGGGCGUUCUGCCGGUCCCAGUCGGUAGCCACGGCCUCGUCGUCCCAGAUGGUGGAGGUCUCGGUGUCGCUGAUGUAGCCUGGCUCCCCGGUGUAGUGGGUGGGGUAGAUGAGCAGCGGCUCCACCGAGAAGGCCUUCAGGUUUCUGGGAUUGAAGUGGGACAUGUACUCCACACUGAUGAAGAGGAAAACAAAAAGUUACUACAAAAAACUAUGCUAGUCAAAGAUCCUCCAAAUGUAAGGAGGGCUCAGCUGUUUUUAAGGAUUUACUGCAAACACA